rnacentral:lncRNA from 1 species
GCAAGAAAAAAUAAAAAUAAAAAAUCAAAUUCCAAAUAGUUUAAUUUGUUAAUCAAAAUGGUUUCUAAAAAUAAUAUUUUUGUUUACCUUUCUUUGGUUAUUCUACUAAUAAUAUCCUCACAAAUUGUUGCAAGGGAGAUGAAUUCUGAGGCCCCUGCUCCACUUACCCAAGGUUAAUUUACUGUCUCCAUCUAUUUAUUAUUAUAAAAAAAUGUUUUUAUUUGUUUUUUUUGUUAUAUAUAAACGGUUGAGUUCUCUUGACAACAUGGAGACAUCGUAGUAAAGGACGUUCAAAAAUUGUUAUGUUACAUGUAUAAACACUAUAUAGGGUGCAUGUGACACUAUUUUAUUGUAUUUUUGAAUUCCCUUAUAUGUGAAUUUCUGAUUCCGUUACUGACUAAUAUGAAGCUCUACAUACACUUUUUGAUGCAGCAAGUUCAAAUGUUGUGAAGCAUUGUUUCAAAUGUUCUCUCGUCAAGUUCUAAUCCAUAACCAGAAAGAUCAAGUGAAACCAAAUUAGAAAGGUAUGGGAUUUCUGUU